rnacentral:rRNA from 1 species
GCCUGGUGGCGAGUGCGAACGGGUGAGUAAUACAUCGGAACGUACCCAGAAGUGGGGGAUAACGUAGCGAAAGUUACGCUUAAUACCGCAUACGUUCUACGGAAGAAAGUGGGGGAUCGCAAGACCUCAUGCUUUUGGAGCGGCCGAUGUCUGAUUAGCUAGUUGGUGAGGUAAAGGCUCACCAAGGCGACGAUCAGUAGCUGGUCUGAGAGGACGACCAGCCACACUGGAACUGAGACACGGUCCAGACUCCUACGGGAGGCAGCAGUGGGGAAUUUUGGACAAUGGGCGCAAGCCUGAUCCAGCAAUGCCGCGUGAAUGAAGAAGGCCUUCGGGUUGUAAAGCUCUUUUGUCAGGGAAGAAACGGCAGGGGCUAAUAUCCUUUGCUAAUGACGGU